rnacentral:rRNA from 1 species
GACGUAGGGCGCGAGCGUUGUCCGGAUUUAUUGGGCGUAAAGAGCUCGUAGGCGGCCUGUCACGUCAAUCGUGAAAUUCUGCGGCUUAACCGUGGGAGUGCGGUUGAUACGGGCAGGCUAGAGUGCGGUAGGGGAGACUGGAAUUCCUGGUGUAGCGGUGAAAUGCGCAGAUAUCAGGAGGAACACCGGUGGCGAAGGCGGGUCUCUGGGCCGUUACUGACGCUGAGGAGCGAAAGCGUGGGGAGCGAACAGGAUUAGAAACCCCAGUAGUCC